rnacentral:lncRNA from 1 species
AUUUUAAAAUUUAGUUCCUCUUCCAUUGAUUAAUAAUGAAGUUCCGUUCCUGUUAUUCUAAGAAAUUCUCAUUUCAUCCAAUUCAGGCACUAUUCAAUUGGAAAUAUAGGAUGAGAUUCCAGAGAUAAGACUUUCUUCUGAAUUCCUUCAGAGAGGAUGUGCCAACAAGCUUACACAAACCUCCAUUGAUAAUCAUACAAUAAUCCAUCAGAAAUACUUUGUUUAAUAAGACACUGCUAUCGAGCAUCCACCAUUAUUGUCUUUUUUAAAAUAUAUUUUUUUAUGAUUAUGACCAGCGAAACAAUACUUGCAUAUCUUAUUUUAACUUGGAUUGUACAAUCGGAAGUGGCACAUUUAUUCAGAAGAAUGCUUUUGGAAGCCGCACCCUAUACGAUCUAUCUGAAGUGGACUAUGCAAUUGCCACAUUUAUGAUGAGAUUAAUUCAAUACGGUAUAAGUGAAAAAUAAGAAAUACAGAAAAUGUAUUUCCUUCAAAAAGGAGGUAAGAAAUCGAAGAAAUACAUUAAAUUAUAAUAUCUAUACAAUUUGAAAAAUAGAUAACAUGAUACAGUGUGAUCAAAAGUCGUGAAUUUUAUUUUAUGACAGAAUAAAUUCGAUUACAUCGAACUUUAAAGUGUGAGAAUAAAUUGAUCAUACAGUGGGAUUCACAUAACAAUCAUUUCCUCUAUCUAAUUACAAUAGAUAAUAGUGGAAAUAUUAUCCAUGAGCUUAGUAUGAACUGACUAAUAAAUCGAAACAUUCAUCAAAUUAUAUCAUUCUAAUAGGAUGACGCCUGGGUGUUUUCAGCUAAGCUCUAAUAUUCUCUUGAAUAGUAAAAGGUUUAUUGAAAUAUGUGUCUUGGCUGCUCACAAUAUUUUGACGUUGUACUGCAAUUUAAAAGCGAAUUGAAAUAUGUAUGAAUGAUAUGCAUACGCAUACGCGUAAUAAAAUUAUUAUAAACUACACACUUCAGUAUUCAGUCUCUUAAUUUUAUUUUUCCAGGUAGCUACUUCAUUAUCUAAACCUCUAUAAUGAAUAUUGUUCCCUCAGCUUACUAAUUUCAAACAGUGUAAUUUAAAGUUACAUUACCAGAGAGAUCAAAAUUAUUACAAAUUACAAUGUGAGUAAUUAAUAUAGUUUAAACCAUGUUAAUAUUAAGUGCAAUAGUAUUUCAAGAAUGAUGUGCAAUAGAUCAAUUUCGAGUGAGUGUGUGCUUACAGUUUUAACAUGGAAAAUUAAUUUAAAAUUUAUGUUCGAAUAUUGUAAUUAACAGGACCUGACUGUAUUAUGUACACGAAAUAAUUAUUUCUAUCUCAAGUGCAGAGCCUGUACUACUGUUUGAAGAAUAAUUUAUUAUUUUAUUGUAUUUGUAGCAUAAUAUGUUGUAUGAAGUGUACUAUGAAAUAAUAUUCACAGAUGUGCCAUGUCUAUACUCAUAGAUUUAACAUCUAUUCCUGGAAUGAAUUAACAGUAAUUGCGGGUGUAUUUCGAUUAGCCCAGGUGUUCGAUUAGCCCAGGUGUUCGAUUAUCCCAGGUGCUCGAUUAGUCCAGGUGUUCGAUUACCCCAGGUCGGACUUUCCCGAUUAGACCAGAACCUGGUAUAAUCGAACUACUGGGUUAAUCGAAGUAUUCUGUCUCGAUUAGCUCAGUAGUUCGAUUAUACCAGGUCAUUUAAACGAUACCUGGUCCAAUCGAGACACAGGACCUGGUUUAAUCGAGACAGGACCUGGUAUAAUCGAGACGUGGGCUAAACGAGACGGAAUGUUUCGAUUAGCCCAUUAUAGUUCGAUUAUACCAGGUGUCAUAUAUGCUGUAAUGGCAGAAGCACGAGCUGUUAUACACACAUUUGACUAUACAAAAUUCUAGAACCUGGUGUAAUCGCACACCUCGACUAAUCGGAAUAUAAGUCGGGAGCGCAUGUCCCGAUUAGACCAGGUCAUGUGUCUCGAUUGGACCAGGUUUUGGAGCUUCAUUGUAGAAUAGGACCUGGUAAAAUCGAACACCUGGUCUAAUCGAGACACUCCCGUAAUUGCUAUUGAAAUAAACUUGUUGAAUAAUAAUCUGUUAAUAAAAAUCGAAGUCAAUUUCUAAUUCCUUGUCAUAAAGCAAGGGAUAUUAAAUCACAAUUUGUUAUGAAGUAAUAUAUUAUUCUUGAUUUUUUCUCACAAUGUGAACAAUUAUGAAUUUACUUGUUUAAUAAUAUCAUUCUGUUAGUUAUCAUUGAUGAUCCAUUUUUUGAAUUAUUUGUUCAAUUAAUAACCUUAAAAAUUUAUUGCACAAAAUUAAUUUUUAGAUCAAGUCACAAAAUUAUUUUAAAUAAUCUCCAUUCCAUAAGUAUGAUUUUAUGAGAAUAUCUUUGUAUAUGUUUGAACAUUCCCAAUGUUUUUAUGAUUAGGCUAUAAGCUUGUACCAUUUUCAUCCAGAAAGUGUCAAGAUUAAUUAUUUCUCUUGAAUAGAAUAAUAAUUUUUAGUGACCUACUAUCUAUUAUUUUAAGUCGUAGCUCUAGUAUUUUGUAAUUAGAGAGUAUCUUUCAACACACACACAAAUAUUUUUAAAAUAAUUCUUUUGAAUUUAUUCAUUUAUUAAUUGAAUAUUGUGUACUUCUAUAAAGAAUCAAGUUCAGCAUCAUUCAUAAAAAAUAUUUUUCAUGAAAUCUUUUCAUAUUUCACAAACUAGAUUUAUCGAAUGAAUUCAAUGUUUUUUAGUAAACCCAGACUACAAUUAAAUGCCAGAAGUCAUGAAAUUUAAAAUAAUCUUAUCAUUUAUAUAAAAGUUUUCUCUAUUUUUCAUUUAUUUGAACCAUUUUUCUUCUACUCUUCAAUUUAUUAUAUUAUGGAGAAUAUUAAUAUCUUGUUGAAAGAGAUUAUAGCCUAUCAACCUUAUUUGAAAAUACAAUUUAAUGCUUAAAUUGGUGCUAUUAUGAAAAAUCAAAAUACUUUAAUGUUACUAUCAAGCCUCAUUUUUGUUAUCGAAUUCUUCGAUCAUAAAAGAGUAAUUUUCUAUCUUUUGCACUAUUAAUGUAAUUCUAUGAUUUUUCAAUGUAGGUUCUCAUUGCAAAGUUAUUGUUGCUCGUAUAAUUUAUUAAUAUAUUUAAUAAUAUUUAUCAUUAAUUUCAUAGUAGGCCCUAUUCAUGCUUUUUAUGUAUUUUAUUUGUAUUUAAAUUACAUAUCCAUAAUUUUAUUGCAUUAGCUCGUAUAUGAAUGUAUAGUGUAAUGGUAUAUUCUUUAAUGAAUACUAAAAAAUAUCAGUGUAAUACCUUAUUGCACUCUAAUUCUUGUGAAUAUUGACUAGCCUAUUAUUGGUCAAAUUUUCGUUCAUCUUGAAUUCCAAUAUCAUUUGAAUAAUAGUAAUUCGUUCAAAAGCGUGAAAUGUAAAAGUAGAAUAAUUGAUUCUUCUUGUUGAGAAAGGCUAGCGUAAACAUAAUUUGUCAUGGAAUCUAUAAAAUUAAUGACAAUUUUUUCAUAAAAAUAAGCUUAUGAAUACAGUUUCUUAUUAUAUGUUUAUUGUUUUUGUUUAUUGUUAAUUUUAUUUAUCUGUUUUAUUCUACAAUAUCUAUAUAAUAGAUAAUAUUAUCUUAUUUCCAUAUUUUAGCACCAUAUUUAUAUCUGUCAUCAGAUUAUUUGAAUUUACAAUAGAAACUAGAGCAAUGAAAAGAUAAUAUUAAAAUGAGGGUUUCAACAUUUCGUCUUCAGUUACAUACCGGUAAAAAAUAUACAAUAUUUUAUUGUAUACAUUAUUUUUUGUAAUUGACCUUCAUAUUUUUUCAAUGCAUUAUUGCUCAAUGAACAUCACAUUAAUGUUUUAUUAAUAUACUUGUUGCCAGCUUCCGUGCAGAUAAACAACUCAUGUUCUGUAUAUUAGUAUAUACAGUAUUAUAUUACAUAUUGUAUUACAAUAUGUAUAACAUAUAAUAUGUUAUUGUAAUUAAAUUAAUUUUUUAAGAAUUACAAUCAACUUGACGUUCAAUAUAAAUUUGAGUCUGAAUGAUUCAGUCAUGAAGCUGUCAUUAUUUGGAGUUGAUUGCAUUAUAGAAAGAUUAUUUGGUUUCAUUGAACUGUCAGAUGGACCUCCAAUGAAUAAAUUAAUAGCAUAGAGAAACGAUAGCAUAAGUAGAUAUCCCAUGGUAUAGGGCGUUUAUGUCGCAACUUUUACUGUUAUCCCAAACCGAUAGUUCACGUAGUUCUUUCCUAUGCAGCUGUGUGACGCUGGUAGUCUCUCAUAUUGUCCCGUUCAUACACUCUCACCCCAACAAAAUAGUAAAAAUUGACAAUAAUUCACAUAAUCGGCUUGAGAUAACAGUAAAAGUUGCGACAUAAAUUUCCUAUACCAUGGGAUAUCUACUUACGCUAUUGUUUCUCUAUGUUAAUAGCCUACUGAGAUGACAACUCAGCGCCUGUAAUUGUGAUUGACUAUUUCAACGGAAUGGUUUUUUCACUUCCACCUCUAGCUAAAGUCCACCAUAAACUAUAUUUGUGGAAUAAUUUCAUUCACGAAUCAAUUGUGUUUGUAAUUCAUGUAGAAGCAUAAUAUAUAUAAUAAAAUGAUAUUUUUCAUCCAA